rnacentral:ncRNA from 2 species
GAUGAGGAUAGAGGUCGCGGCUUUUAUAGGAAUCUGUACGAGAUACAAAAGAUAUCGAGGACUACAGAAGAGGGAAAAGCUGCCGAAGCCCGCACUGCAUCUUUUGUGCAAACGGGCUGGGGCUGUACUCGAAAGGGACAGAACUGUCACGUUGGCGAGCCUGCGCUGACGUGUUGUGCUAUCUUCCGU